CCCUCCCAAAUAGCAGCCUUGCAGAUUAUCUUUAAGAAAAUUCAAAACCCCCUUUUAGACUCACCCUCUGCUAGGGAUUCGCCUCUACUUUGAGAUGCUGCAUACGAGAGUCAUCGGUGCUUCUGUGCCUCCACGGGGUAAGGCCAAGUACGUGCUAGGUGUGGACUCUGAUGUGGAGGUGGAGUGGUGCACGGUGCGGAGAGUCGCGUGACGUGCGGUGCCUGGGGACUGCCUCGGUUGCAAAUGAUGGCUCCUAGAGUUUUUUUUGCAAUCUGGUUGUGUUUUUGGGCUGUUUGGCCCAUGUUUGUAAAUGGGUACUUAGGUUUAGGUCUGCUUAGCUUCUAGUGGUUUGGGCCGGGCAAAUUUUGGGCCCUACUGUAAUGGCCUAAAUUCAAAAUUAUCGGAACAGUGAUUUCGUAACCACAAAUCCGAUUUAAAGAGAAAUUUAUUUCAAUAUUUUUGCAUGAAAAUUGUAUGAAAAUAUUGAUAAAAAAUUUUACUAAUUUGGUGAUUAGAUAGAAAAAGAAAUUAUUGAAGAAA